rnacentral:ncRNA from 1 species
AUAAAGUUUUAUUUUGGCUUAAAAAUUUAUUAUUAAUUUAUUUUAUAUGUAAAUUUUUGUGUGAAAUUUGUUUAUUAAUUUUAAAAAUUAUUAAAUAUAAUUUAAUCGCAGUAAUUAAUAUUAUUAAUUAAGGAAACUUAGAAAUAGAAAUAUUAAAUAGUAUUGACUUAAUUUGUGCCAGCAGUCGCGGUUAUACAAAUAAUGCAAAUAAAUUUGUUUAGUAAAAGUUAAAUUGAAUUUAAAAUUUAAAGUUAAAAUUAUUAGGUGAAAUUUUAAUUUUAAAUUAUAUUGUUUAUAAAUUUUAUUAAAGCUUAUAAAUUUUAAUAUUAAACUAGGAUUAGAUACCCUAUUAUUUAAAAUGUAAGUCAAUUUACUAAAGUAGUAGUAGUUAUGUUCUUGAAACUUAAAAAAUUUGGCGGUAUUUUAGUCUAUUCAGAGGAACUUGUUCUGUAAUCGAUAAUCCACGUUGGACCUUUCUUAAAUUUGUUUAAUCAGUUUAUAUACCGUCGUUAUAAGAAUAUUUUAUAAGAAUAAUAAUUUUCUUAAUAUUUUAUUAAAUUGUAUAUCAGAUCAAGGUGUAGCUUAUAUUUAAGUAGAAAUGGGUUACAAUAAAAUUAUUUAUGUGGAUAUAAAAAUGAAAAAUUUAUUGAAAUUGGAUUUGAAAGUAAAUUUAUAUAGAUUAAUAAAUUGAUUUUAGCUCUAAAAUAUGUACACAUCGCCCGUCGCUCUUAUUAAUAAAGUAAGAUAAGUCGUAACAUAGUAGAUGUACUGGAAAGUGUAUCUAGAAUGA